UACGAAGGGGGCUAGCGUUGUUCGGAAUUACUGGGCGUAAAGCGCGCGCAGGCGGAUUAGUAAGUUAUAUGUGAAAUCCCUGGGCUUAACCCAGGAACUGCAUCUAAAACUGCUAUUCUAGAGUAUGAUAGGGGAUAAUGGAAUUCCUAGUGUAGAAGUGAAAUUCUUAGAUAUUAGGAGGAACGCCGAAGGCGAAAGCAGUUAUCUGGGUCACUACUGACGCUGAGGCGCGAAAGCGUGGGGAGCAAACAGG
rnacentral:rRNA from 1 species